UACGAAGGGGGCUAGCGUUGUUCGGAUUUACUGGGCGUAAAGCGCGUGUAGGCGGGCCGUUAAGUUGGAGGUGAAAUCCCGAGGCUCAACCUCGGAACUGCCUUCAAAACUGGCGGCCUGGAGGAGAAGAGAGGCAAGUGGAAUUGCGAGUGUAGAGGUGAAAUUCGUAGAUAUUCGCAGGAACACCAGUGGCGAAGGCGACUUGCUGGCUUCUUUCUGACGCUGAGACGCGAAAGCGUGGGGAGCAAACAGG
rnacentral:rRNA from 1 species